rnacentral:rRNA from 1 species
UACGUAGGGGGGCUAGCGUUGUCCGGAUUUAUUGGGCGUAAAGAGCGUGUAGGCGGCCAGGUAGGUCUGCUGUGAAAACCCGAGGCUCAACCUCGGGCCUGCAGUGGGUACGGGCAGACUAGAGUGCGGUAGGGGGAGAUUUGGAAAUUCCCUGGGUGUAGCGGUGGAAUGCGCAGAUAUCAGGAGGAACACCGAUGGCGAAGGGCAGAUCUCUGGGCCGUAAACUGACGCUGAGGAGCGAAAGCGUGGGGAGCGAACAGG